rnacentral:snRNA from 1 species
GUUCUUGCUUUGGCAACAUGUAUGAACACUGAAAAAAACACAGAGAAGAUUGGCAUGGCCCCUCUGCAAGGAUCACAUGCAAAUUUAUGAAACAUUCCAAAUAUAU